rfam:Gossypium hirsutum cultivar TM-1 chromosome 18, whole genome shotgun sequence
AGUCCAUGCUGAGGACACCUUCUCAACAAAUCUUUAAAUCUCUCUCAUGUAUCAUAAAGAACUUUAAUAUCAAACUGAUCAAAAGAAGUGAUGUCAUUUCUCAACUU